AGAGUUUGAUCCUGGCUCAGGACGAACGCGGCGGCGUGCUUAACACAUGCAAGUCGAGCGGGGAUUGAUGAGGUGCUUGCACUGAUUCAAUUCUAGCGGCGGACGGGUGAGUAACGCGUGAGCAAUCUGUCCUACACAGGGGGAUAACACUUGGAAACAGGUGCUAAUACCGCAUAAGACCACGAGGUCGCAUGGCCACGGGGUAAAAGAUUUAUCGGUGUAGGGUGAGCUCGCGUCCCAUUAGCUAGUUGGUGAGGUAACGGCCCACCAAGGCGACGAUGGGUAGCCGACCUGAGAGGGUGAUCGGCCACAUUGGAACUGAGACACGGUCCAGACUCCUACGGGAGGCAGCAGUGGGGAAUAUUGGGCAAUGGGCGCAAGCCUGACCCAGCAACGCCGCGUGAAGGAAGAAGGUUUUCGGAUUGUAAACUUCUGUCCUAAGUGACGAACACAAUGACGGUAGCUUAGGAGGAAGCCCCGGCUAACUACGUGCCAGCAGCCGCGGU
rnacentral:rRNA from 1 species